rnacentral:rRNA from 1 species
UACGUAGGGUGCAAGCGUUAGUCCGGAAUUAUUGGGCGUAAAGAGCUCGUAGGCGGUUUGUCGCGUCUGCUGUGAAAACUGGAGGCUCAACCUCCAGCCUGCAGUGGGUACGGGGCAGACUAGAGUGCGGUAGGGGAGAUUGGAAUUCCUGGUGUAGCGGUGGAAUGCGCAGAUAUCAGGAGGAACACCGAUGGCGAAGGCAGAUCUCUGGGCCGUUACUGACGCUGAGGCACGAAGGCCAGGGGAGCAAACGGG